rnacentral:lncRNA from 1 species
AGACUGUAUCUUCCUGCUGUAAAUGAGCAACUUCAAAUUCCUCCCCACUUCCUUUUCAAUUUACUUUGCAACAGCAUGAAUUUAGUUUAACAAAAUUUAGACUUCCGUUAAUGAAGUUGUUAUACACAAAAAAGAGAGCUUACCAUCUUUAAGCAGUCUUGCUGACUAGCAGAAGUGCUGAUGGGGACUUAGAAAGGGCACUGUUUUGAACAACAGAACUGGAACAGGACCAGAAGCAAAUGAAGCCAAGACUGCAGUGCUCUGUCAGACUGACCACAGCAUGCUUGAAUAUACAUGCUCUGAAAAGUGGUAAUUGGGCAUUUAUCAAUACAUUUGAUUGCAAACACUGCCUGAAGAUGGAGAUCCUUCAGCAAGAGUCCCAAGAACUAGAAAAAACAGCAUCUGGUGUUUGA